CUGCCCUGCAAUUCCUGAGAAAGGCAUAAAAGGACUGACUUCUUUUCUGUUCCCUCCCUUGCAGUGGUGCUUUCAACUUUAAAAGCUAAAGCCAAGCCAGGAAGAGGAAGACAAGAUGAGGAACCCCAAAUCAAGAAUUGCAAGCUGAUUUUGGGGCUCAUCCAUUAAUUUUGUUGUGUUUGGAAAGAUGCAGGAUGCGGCGUCUCACCUGAGAG